AUGGAUGUCGAUGCCGAUGCUUCUCUGGCUGCUACUGAGGAUGGCAGUGAUCCUUUCACCCACCUAAAAUCAAAGACGGUGGUGGGAAAGCAGCUGGAGGAAACAAGAAAGCGCAGUAACUACUUUCCUAUGGUACUUGUUGCGUGCUUGUUGCUGAUUGCACACCCUAUGGUGCUUGAUGCCGAUUGCAAUGGCAACGCUUCAUCUCCGCAGGCGAUCCAAGCUGUGCUCGUCAUCUACACUAGUGUUAAAACUAUAUUCAGGCGUGACUAUAUGCAUGCCAUUUGUGUAAUAGAAUAUUUAUAG
rnacentral:rRNA from 1 species